rnacentral:rRNA from 1 species
CGUAAGAGACAAGUGUUAUUCAUCUUAAUUAGGUUUAAAGGGUACCUAAACGGUCAAUAUAGCUUGAUUUAAAUGUAAGUAUAUGACUAGAGUUUUAUGGAAGAAGGCAGUACUUAAGGAGAAGAGAUCAAAUUCGUUGAUACCUAAAGGACUCGGUAACGGCGAAGGCAGCCUUCUAUCUAAUAACUGACGUUGAGGGACGAAGGCAUAGAUAUCAAAAGGAUU